rnacentral:rRNA from 1 species
GACGUAGGGCGCGAGCGUUGUCCGGAUUUAUUGGGCGUAAAGAGCUCGUAGGCGGCUCGUUGCGUCAACCGUGAAAACCCGGGGCUUAACUUCGGGCUUGCGGUUGAUACGGGCGGGCUGGAGUUCGGUAGGGGAGACUGGAAUUCCUGGUGUAGCGGUGAAAUGCGCAGAUAUCAGGAGGAACACCGGUGGCGAAGGCGG